AUUGAACGUUGGCGGCAGGCCUUAUACAUGCAAGUCGAACGAGAAAGCACUUCGGUGUGAGUACAGUGGCGGACGGGUGAGUAACGCGUAGGAAUCUACCUUCAGGUGGGGGACAACUCGGGGAAACUCGAGCUAAUACCGCAUAAUAUCUUCGGAUUAAAGCGGGGGAUCUUCGGACCUCGCGCCAGGAGAGGAGCCUGCGUUGGAUUAGCUAGUUGGUGGGGUAAUAGCCUACCAAGGCAACGAUCUAUAGCUGGUCUGAGAGGACGAUCAGCCACACUGGAACUGAGACACGGUCCAGACUUCUACGGAAGGCAGCAGUAGGGAAUCUUGGUCAAUGGGCGCAAGCCUGAACCAGCCAUGCCGCGUGUGCGAAGAAGGCCCUAGGGUUGUAAAGCACUUUCAGUCGUGAAGAAACACUUAAGGCUAAUACCCUUGAGCAUUGACGUUAACGACAGAAGAAGCACCGGCUAACUCCGUG
rnacentral:rRNA from 1 species